rnacentral:tRNA from 1 species
GGUGGGUUGGCUCAGUGGUUAGAGCGUAGGUCUCGUAGUAACCGAAAGGUCGGGGGAUCGAAUCCCGCUAGAAACUG